UACGUAGGGGGCUAGCGUUGUCCGGAAUCAUUGGGCGUAAAGAGCGUGUAGGCGGUCCGGUAAGUCCGCUGUGAAAGUCGGGGGCUCAACCCUCGAAUGCCGGUGGAUACUGUCGGGCUAGAGUGCGGAAGAGGCGAGUGGAAUUCCUGGUGUAGCGGUGAAAUGCGCAGAUAUCAGGAGGAACACCGGUGGCGAAGGCGGAUCUCUGGGCCUUACCUGACGCUGAGGCGCGAAAGCUAGGGGAGCGAACAGG
rnacentral:rRNA from 1 species